ACUUAAGCUAAGUUCACACUACAUGAUUUUAAGCCAGAUUUAAGCCCGAUUUGCAAGUCGUUCGCUCGCCGACAGGUCGGGGUGUGAUCGGGUGCAAAUCGCGGGGGAUUAGCGGGCGAUCGACGUUCGCGAAUCUGUUGGUAUGAAAGAGCCAACAACGCAUCAAAGACGCUCGCAGACGGCUCGCAGACGCGUCGCCGACACCAGAAAAAUAUCUAGCAUGCUAGAUAUCUGGAGCUGUCGCGCGACUCAACCUCCUGUGAUGUCACGAGCUACAGCCAAUCCGACCAGGGGUUGAGGUCACACGGAAAGAGUAGCAUGUCACAGUUAUGAAUGCCUGUAUGACGUUUCACAUAUAUGUACUACAACUGCGCUGAGAAAAAGAAACGGUGGAGAGAAAUAGCAAACGCUGUAAAACAGCCAGACUUUACUUUUGCACAAGUGGACUCACAAACAACUACAUCAACUUCAUUUGGGAACCAUGGCUUUGGAAUUGAGGGAUAUUGAAGACCCAGUUCUUUCAUCACAUCUCAAAAGAAGCAUAAUGGUGAUCAUAUUCAAUGCCCAGGAGACUGACAAAAGUGGAUCAAUGUUGUCACCUGAACAACCUACCUUAUGCAUAUAUCAUACAUGACAUGUGCGGUCCCGAUGUGUUUUUGUUUACAAACUAUUGACUUUACUAUGUAUUACAUUUAUCAAUAAGGUGAUUAAACUUGUUAAAGGGUUUAGAUUGAAUUUCCCAGUGGUGUUUCAUGAAAUAAAUGGUCUAUCGAAAGUAAUACAUUUAAUGCUACAAAGUAUAAAAGUAUUAAACACAUUGAGUCAUAUUUUACAAAAACAGGCAAUAUGAAUAGUGCUUUAGUGCAAUGUAGUACAUUAGAAUGUAUAUUAUGUGAACAGACAAAAUAUACAUUGUUAGAACACAUGCAGUGCGCCACAUUAACACAAUUAAACAUUACAAAACUCCCUGUGUAGAGCUCCUUUAAGGGCUGGGUGAUAUAUAAAUAUCAUAAUAUAAUUGUGUGUGAUUGGCUGUUAGAUUAAUCCACAUUGAGUAAAAAUGCCCAGAGCUUAUCAUCACAAUCGCCAUAAAUUUUAUCAUGAUCAGGUAUUUUGAUGUUUAAUCGCCCUAGUAUAGAAACAUUGUUAAUGUUCUGUGAAUAAUGAAUGUGGAUCAAGAAAUAAAGUUUGUAUAAGGCACUUAAUUGCAACAUGCAGAUUGCCUUUAUUACAUUCCUGCACCUUUUGAUUUGUAUGCAAUUAAAAUGUAUUCAAUAAUAACACAACAAUAAACAGAAUACUUAAAACAGUGAAUAA